ensembl:lncRNA
GCUAGAAACAUAGAAAACAAUUGCCUCUGAGCACGUGUAUGGAUUUCCUUGCAGGAGUCUGAGCUGGCAGUUAUUUUAAUUAGCAACACAUUUUAUAAGGGCAGAAUCAGAAAUGGAAACAUGUCAAAGCCUCUUUAGCUAUUGAGUUUGGCAGACUAACAUGCGUGUGCCUGGGUAUGGUAAUCAGCUCUUGACUCCCCUCCAUCUCUCCCAAGAGAGCCAUGUGAACAUACAGAGCCCCCUACUUGGAUAUGGGAGGACUUAUCAAUAUCACACACCAAAUGCUGAAGAUUCAGGAGUCCUCUUGAAGCCACUUCUGGGGAAAGUCUUCUCAAGAAGGAGUGCAACUCCCUACUCUUACUGAAGAUGGACAUUCCUGGAUUUGAGUCUUAAGGAAAUUCACAGGUAUAAAUACACAAAGAAAAUACAAAGGAGCUAAGAGCAAAAAAAUUUGGAAAAUGGAAAGCAACUGGGUUCGUAGUAAUAGACUCAGCAGAAUUAUAAAUAUGAGAACAAAGGAGAUCCUACAGUUUGCAGAGAAGAAGUAAGUUUUCAUAUAAAAGUUCAAGAAUUAUAUUGGAAUAAUAGUUCUAAACAGAAAUCUUGCAACCAAAAGAAAAUUGAGCAAUCCCUUCAAAUUCUGAAGGAAAAUUACUUCCUACCCAGAAGAUUAUAUCUAAAGAAGCUGUCAAUUACAUGUGAUGAGAAUAAAGCCAUAUUUGGAUUCA